rnacentral:rRNA from 1 species
CAGCAGCACGGGAAUACAGAGGGUGCGAGCGUUAAUCGGAUUUACUGGGCGUAAAGCGUGCGUAGGCGGCUUUUUAAGUCGGAUGUGAAAUCCCUGAGCUUAACUUAGGAAUUGCAUUCGAUACUGGGAAGCUAGAGUAUGGGAGAGGAUGGUAGAAUUCCAGGUGUAGCGGUGAAAUGCGUAGAGAUCUGGAGGAAUACCGAUGGCGAAGGCAGCCAUCUGGCCUAAUACUGACGCUGAGGUACGAAAGCAUGGGGAGCAAACAGGAUUAGAUACCCCAGUAGUCCCUGUCUCUUAUACA